rnacentral:rRNA from 1 species
UACGGAGGAUGCGAGCGUUAUCCGGAUUUAUUGGGUUUAAAGGGUGCGUAGGCGGCCGAGUAAGUCAGCGGUGAAAUUUUGCAGCUUAACUGUAACAGUGCCGUUGAUACUGCAUGGCUAGGAUUUGGUUGCUGUGGGUGGAAUGUGUGGUGUAGCGGUGAAAUGCUUAGAUAUCACACAGAAUAUCAAUUGCGAAGGCAGCUCACAAAGCCAAGAUUGACGCUGAGGCACGAAGGUGUGGGGAUCAAA